UACGUAGGGGGCAAGCGUUAUCCGGAUUUACUGGGUGUAAAGGGAGCGUAGGCGGCGAUGCAAGUCAGAAGUGAAAGCCCGGGGCUCAACUCCGGGACUGCUUUUGAAACUGUAUGGCUAGAUUGCGGGAGAGGCAAGUGGAAUUCCUAGUGUAGCGGUGAAAUGCGUAGAUAUUAGGAGGAACACCAGUGGCGAAGGCGGCUUGCUGGACUGUAAAUGACGCUGAGGCUCGAAAGCGUGGGGAGCAAACAGG
rnacentral:rRNA from 1 species